CGCACAUUGCGCCCUGUGGUAUUCCGCAGGGCAUGCCUGUUCGAGCGUCAUUAUAACCACUCACGCCUGGCGUGGUGUUGGGACCCGCGGUUCCGCGGUCCUCAAACCCAGUGGCGGUGCCUGUGGGCUCUAAGCGUAGUAAUACUCCUCGCUAUAGGGUCCCGCGGGUUGCCCGCCAGAACCCCCAAAUUUUCUAGGUUGACCUCGGAUCAGGUAGGGAUACCCGCUGAACUUAA
rnacentral:misc_RNA from 1 species